CGUAGGGUGCGAGCGUUGUCCGGAAUUAUUGGGCGUAAAGAGCUCGUAGGCGGUGUGUCGCGUCGGCCGUGAAAACCUGCAGCUUAACUGUGGGCGUGCGGUCGAUACGGGCAUCACUGGAGUUCGGCAGGGGAGACUGGAAUUCCUGGUGUAGCGGUGAAAUGCGCAGAUAUCAGGAGGAACACCGGUGGCGAAGGCGGGUCUCUGGGCCGAUACUGACGCUGAGGAGCGAAAGCGUGGGGAGCGAACAGG
rnacentral:rRNA from 1 species